rnacentral:rRNA from 1 species
GCGAGUUGAGAGGGGUAAGCCCUCGGCAUAUUGCUCAGUAACACGCGGAUAACCUGCCCUUGGGUUCGGGAUAACCCCGGGAAACUGGGACUAAUACCGGAUAGAUCAAAGAAACUGGAAUGUUCUCUGGUCAAAAACUCUGGUGCCCAAGGAUGGGUCUGCGGCCUAUCAGGUAGUAGUGGGUGUAACGUACCUACUAGCCUACGACGGGUAAGGGUUGUGAGAGCAAGAGCCCUGAGAUGGAUUCUGAGACAUGAAUCCAGGCCCUACGGGGUGCAGCAGGCGCGAAAACUUUACACUGCGGGAAACCGCGAUAAGGGGACCCCGAGUGCCAGCACCUAGUGCUGGCUGUCCAGCUGUCCAAAUAACAGUUGUUAGCAAGGGCCGGGCAAGACCGGUGCCAGCCGCCGCGGUAACACCGGCGGCCCGAGUGGUAGCCGUUAUUAUUGGGUUUAAAGGGUCCGUAGCCGGCCUAUUAAGUCUCUUGGGAAAUCUGGCGACUCAAUCGUCAGGCGUCCAAGAGAUACUGGUAGGCUUGGGACCGGGAGAGGUGGGAGGUACUCCAGGGGUAGGGGUGAAAUCUCGUAAUCCUUGGGGGACCACCGAUGGCGAAGGCAUCCCACCAGAACGGGUCCGACGGUGAGGGACGAAAGCUGGGGGCACGAACCGGAUUAGAUACCCGGGUAGUCCCAGCCGUAAACGAUGCUCGCUAGGUGUCAGGUGCGGUGCGACCGCAUCU